rnacentral:lncRNA from 1 species
AAAGAAACUGUGGUUUGUGCAGUUUUUCUUUAUGUAAGAAGCACAUUCCCAGUCACUGUUCAGAUUCAGUGGCAUUCUGCAAACUCUUAGAACCUUUUCCACCCUUUGUGGUUCCCUAGACACGACUGCUGUCUUACUGCAUGUAUUCCUCUGCGCGUUCUGAAGAAUUAAUUGCUGUCAUGGAGGUAAAUACCAACAGCUCUGGAUCUUGACACUUAGAGCUUCUGGUCAUGCUUUUCUACUGUUUUUCUCAGAGAGGGAAAAAGCAAACAUGAUUCCUGACCGGUGCACAGCAAACAGCCCCACAGUGGCAUGCAGCAAGGACUACAAUUGUUGCUUUGAAGAAGUCUGUGUCUGCAGUGGUAUGAAAAUAAAAUCCCACAUCAAAGAGUACGGAACGAGUUAGCCCUGACCCACAGACAAGGAUAUUUAUGCAAGGAUGUGUGCGCGGUUUUUUCUAAGUUAUGCUUUACUGUUUUGUUCUUCUGACUUAGAAAUACUUUUUCUGUUCUUGCUUUCCCCUUGCUGGUGAUAUGGCUGUAGCAGAAAAAUGCACAGGUGUACCAAAAGCCCCAAACUUGCAGUUUAAGGGAUGCUCUCGUGGUUCACCAGAAGCUGGUAGGGCUUAUUCUGGUGUUGUUUGAACCAGAUUUAUGCUGAUGGAACACCUCUGGGUGAAAUCCAGGUCUUUUGGAACUCAGUGGCAAAGCCCGACUCCAAGGACAGCCAAAUGAAAUCAGCUUACAGAGAAAGCCUUGGAAAUACCUUUGUUAUUUAUGCAUUUGACUCGAGCCAAGUGAUCUAACUGUUGAUGAAUUCCAGUAACGUAAGUCCCAACUGAUGCCAUUAAAGUAAACUGAGU